rnacentral:rRNA from 1 species
GACGAACGCUGGCGGCGUGCUUAGCACAUGCAAGUCGAACGGAAAGGCCCUGCUUUUGUGGGGUGCUCGAGUGGCGAACGGGUGAGUAACACGUGAGUAACCUGCCCUUGACUUUGGGAUAACUUCAGGAAACUGGGGCUAAUACCGGAUAUGAGCUCCUGCUGCAUGGUGGGGGUUGGAAAGUUUCGGCGGUUGGGGAUGGACUCGCGGCUUAUCAGCUUGUUGGUGGGGUAGUGGCUUACCAAGGCUUUGACGGGUAGCCGGCCUGAGAGGGUGACCGGCCACAUUGGGACUGAGAUACGGCCCAGACUCCUACGGGAGGCAGCAGUGGGGAAUAUUGCACAAUGGGCGGAAGCGUGAUGCAGCAACGCCGCGUGCGGGAUGACGGCCUUCGGGUUGUAAACCGCUUUCGCCUGUGACGAAGCGUGAGUGACGGUAAUGGGUAAAGAAGCACCGGCUAACUACGUG